AGAUAGCAGGGCCCAUAUAUACAAAUCCUAUGGGAUUUAGAAGAUCUACUAGUCGGCUAAUUAAGUAGGGGAUCCCUCUGUUAAAUUUCACCCACUCGAGCCAAGUGCAUGUGUCUCAAGUCCAGUACCUCCACUUCUCUCUAAGCUCAAUCCUCCCAGUCUGGUUGAAAGAAACGCCUGAAAGAAGAAAGUUCUAAGAAAGGCAGGAGCACCACAUGAUUCUAUCUCCAGUUUCCUGCGAUGCAGCUGACCAUUGAUCUUGCUCCAAGAGUGCUUCUGUAUGCCAUCAAGCAAACAGAAUCAGAUUGAAUUGAGCAGUGAAUCUGUCCCGAAAAAAAAACAAAUUGGAAAUGGUUUCGGAGGCAUGAAGGUACUAGCUUUUGGGUUAGUUUUAUUGGGGUGCCUGCAACCUUUUGCAGCUAUUGACCUCCAAGGUAAAUAUAUAAGUAUAUCUGAUAUUAUUCUACAUGGCCAGCAUUACAUGAGGUUAUGCAAAAUUUAAAUUGAGAAAUUUGACUCCAGACUGUUGACAAUUCUAUUGAACUGGAGUAGUAUUAGUUAGACUCCCUGUAUUUGUAAUUAGCCUAGUUUAUGAAUUCACAAAAUACAGGAGUUUCAUGGAGAGCAGUAUAAUUACCAGACUAAUUCUACGAAAUUCCAGAGUUGCAAAUAGGGCCUAAAUAAAUAGAAAAUGAUAGAUACUAAAGCAUCAGUGCACGACUGCAUGCUAGUGGAUAUCAGCUAGACCUUCAAGGCUUCAAUUUCUUACUUUUUGUGGUAUUUUGGGGAAAAUUCUGGAAUCAUCUCUAUUCUCUUGGUGCAAUACAACAUAUAUAUUACAGUGUAUGGGCCACUUGGGCCAACACAUUACACUCACACCUACACAGCCCAACACAGACAACACUCCCCCUCAAGAUGGGUGAUAGAUAUCCAUCAUUCCCAUCUUGUCACAAGCUAAACCACACUCCUUAACUCCUAAACCUUUAGUUAAACAGUCUGCAAUCUGUUCCCUGAUCUUACAUGACUUGCAGCUUAACUAACAGUUAACGGAAUGUGAUACAUUGCAGCUUAACUCCUCAUAGAUUACUGGGCUUCAUGGUCAGUAAAGGACAUAUGAAAGAACUCAAAACAUAUUCUCUGAAAUCCAAUUUCUUGCGAGGGGUUUGUGAAUAAGCACCCGUCGGCGUUGCGGAACUUUGAUUCAGUGCUGGCGGCGGCGAAGGGGAAGCAGGUCGUCAUGUUCCUGAACUACGACGGCACCCUGUCGCCCAUCGUCCAGGACCCCGACAAGGCCUUCAUGGCCGAAGAUGUCGAUCCUCCUCCUCCUCCUCCUUCUUCUUCUUCUUGAAGAGCCAAAAAGACAAGGUUUUUAAUUUUGUCAAAUUGGAGGACUUGUACUAUGCCGGGAGCCAUGGCAUGGACAUAUGGGCCCCCACGACCAAGUCCAAGGCAAAUGUUAGUUAAACCUUCUUUCAAUCCUCUCUACGUACACUUUCCCAUUAAUUGACUUACUAAUACAAUGCCCGUGUGAAGCCACGGGGUCGAUCUCCUCCUGGAACCUGACACACUCCGAUCCCAAGUAAGUGAAAUGGAAGCACGCGCGUGCGACGCAGAAUCCACAGGCCUUGAUCUCACUCAAAUUUGAGGGUAGACGGACUUGAAGACGCGGCGGAGGAGGCCGCGGGAGUCGUGCGUCCAGAGGUCCGCGGCGGCGGCGGCGUCCUCUCAGCUGCCGGCGCGUUCCUCGUCGGCGGCGAUGGCCGGGGAAGGGUAGCCGAGGAGGAAGGACCGGUGGAUCUGCGCCUGGAGAAGCGCGAGCGUCAUUAGGGCCGACCGAGAGGAGAUCAGCGGCGGCGGGGUUGGGGGAGAAUUCAGCGACGGCGUCGGUUAGCCGAGGAGAAGCGAGAGGUGGUGCCGCGCCGCAGUGCGACCGUGCGAGGGGAUGAGGAGGAGUGGAGGCAGGGCAAAAUUGCAAGAAAACCCGGUUUUUGCAGAAAAUCCCAAUUCCAUCCGCAACCUGGGCUUCGAGUUGAUUCUCCAAAAACGAAAGGGGUAAAAUGCAAAUUGGCUGACAGACCGACAAGAAAGGAAGCCUUGCUGUUUUUAUUAUUUGGUUAGAUAGAUAGAUUAUCUCGCUAGCUAGUACGUGGUAACUGUUUGAUUUGUGCACGUAUGCAAGCAGGGCGGAGGGAUGCUCUGCCAGCCCGCGGCCCGUUUCCUGCCCGUCAUCCAGGAGGUACGUAGGCCUAACUAGCUAGCUAGUUUUAGUUUCCUUUGAAUUAAUUAACCUGACGCACUUAGUUUUUCGCAAGUCACCAACACAUACAUACUCACUUUGGUGCCCAUAGUAGCUUUGGUAUCAUUUUUGCCUCUUUACUUACUCACAAAUCACCAACACGUACAUACUCACUUUGGUGCCCAUAGAAGAAGAAGAAGGAGGAGGAGGAGGAGGAGGAGGAGGAGAGGACCGACAUCUUUGGCCAUGAAGGCCUUGUCGGGGUCCUGGACGAUGGGCGAUAGGGUGCCGUCGUAGUCUAGGAACAUGACGACCUGCUUCCCCUUCGCGCCGCCAACGUAGGUAGCUUUGUACCUAGCUUCGUCAGGCUGUUGCUCUGUGUUAGGGUUUUUUGUACGGCUUUCCUUAAUAAGUCGUGCUCUUUGGUUUUCGUCCGGUUUCCUCUUAAUUAACCGAGCUUUGUAUGGUUUUCGGGUCCGGUUUUCCUCAUAAACUGGAUCACCUUUCCCGCAGUCGAAUUCUUUCGGCUGCGUCUAUUGACAAUAAAUAAUCCGCUGAUGGUUGUUUUGUCAAAAAAAAAA